GCGCGGGGACGGCCCCGCGUGCGCCCUCCACCCCGGGGACGGCCCCG
rnacentral:ncRNA from 1 species